AUUUCCGGCCAACAAGGGUGCUCCAAGGUUGGAGUCUCCACCCCACUUCAUUAGCUUAUAGAAAGAAGAGAGUAAGAUUUGGUGUUGACCAAGAGGAGAUUGGGUUAGGGAUUGAAGAGUUGAGCACGGUUGAUUAAACUUGGAAGAGUUGGUGAGGAUUUGCUCAAACGAGGUAGGGAUUUUCUUAACCCUCAAUUUUGAAACAAUAUUGGCUAUCCGAAUCGUGUUAAAUUCAUUCGUUUUCGCCUUAUUGUUCAAGGGGAAACAAACCCUUUGUAUGUAUGCUAUUGUGUAUGAAAUACUAUUAUCGUUGGGUGCUUGUGUUUGAUGCAUUUAACCCUUUUGACGCUCGAUCUCCUAUUGAGUGGU